UCGAACGGUAGCAGAAGAGAGCUUGCUCUCUUGCUGACGAGUGGCGGACGGGUGAGUAAUGCUUGGGAAUCUGGCUUAUGGAGGGGGAUAACUACUGGAAACGGUAGCUAAUACCGCGUAAUGUCUGYGGACUAAAGGGGGCGAAAGCUCUUGCCAUAAGAUGAGCCCAAGUGGGAUUAGGUAGUUGGUGAGGUAAYGGCUCACCAAGCCGUCGAUCUCUAGCUGGUCUGAGAGGAUGACCAGCCACACUGGAACUGAGACACGGUCCAGACUCCUACGGGAGGCAGCAGUGGGGAAUAUUGCACAAUGGGGGAAACCCUGAUGCAGCCAUGCCGCGUGAAUGAAGAAGGCCUUCGGGUUGUAAAGUUCUUUCGGUGAUGAGGAAGGUGUAAUGGUUAAUACCCGUUACAAUUGACGUUAGUCACAGAA
rnacentral:rRNA from 1 species